rnacentral:rRNA from 1 species
GACGAACGCUGGCGGCGUGCCUAAUACAUGCAAGUUGAGCGCUGAAGGUUGGUACUUGUACCAACUGGAUGAGCAGCGAACGGGUGAGUAACGCGUGGGGAAUCUGCCUUUGAGCGGGGGACAACAUUUGGAAACGAAUGCUAAUACCGCAUAAAAACUUUAAACACAAGUUUUAAGUUUGAAAGAUGCAAUUGCAUCACUCAAAGAUGAUCCCGCGUUGUAUUAGCUAGUUGGUGAGGUAAAGGCUCACCAAGGCGAUGAUACAUAGCCGACCUGAGAGGGUGAGCGGCCACAUUGGGACGGAGACACGGCCCAAACUCCUACGGGAGGCAGCAGUAGGGAAUCUUCGGCAAUGGACGAAAGUCUGACCGAGCAACGCCGCGUGAGUGAAGAAGGUUUUCGGAUCGGAAAACUCUGUUGGUAGAGAAGAACGUUUGUGAGAGUGGAAAGCUCAUCAAGUGACGGUAACUACCCAGAAAGGGACGGCUAACUACGUG